CCUCAAAAACACUCAGGGAUUUGAAACCAGCUUAAAGAUAAAUUUUGCUCUUUGUGCUUAACGCAAGCAAAGAGAACGAUUCCUAAGUCUCUGGGUGCCUUUUUCCAAUCUGUUGGUUCGUUGACGAGAAGGGAUGGACACAUUUACUUGCUCUAUUAAACUUGGAAUGAGAAACUUGUGGAGAACUUUGACAGGACACAAGCGGGAGAGAGAAGUCUCUCUUUUCAUCUGGGUGAUGAGCAAACUGGACUGGGUGAGGGACUCGGUUUAACCAAGGCCUGCCAACAAGAGCCAGCUGUGACCGUUCUCAGGCAGUCACGUGAGAGCACAAGCCACCCAGAACGAACUACCAAGUAUGGCGGCUGGAAUUGGUUUGACCAACAGGACAUGAGCAAGUGUUUUAUCUGGAACUUCCUAGAAACAACUGAAAGAGAAUGGACUGUUAGAAUACUUGGACUUUUGACCUUCUUUAGUUUCAGUAACUGGCCUGAAACUCACAUAAAAUGACUAACGACUACUUGGGGACUUGAGCUGACUUUGAAGCUGGAAAUCGCAUACUGAAAAAGAGAAGGCAAACUUGGAGCUUGGGUCUUCGUGGUCUUGGGAGACGGGUGGCGGGGACAUCAACAUCCUUUGACUGCUUGCUGUGUGUGUGAUGGGAGUAUGCAUGGGAGUACACGCAGAGGACAAAGAUGAUGCUGGGUGUUAGGAGUCUUCCUUGAUCGUUCUUUACCAUUCAUUCACUCAUUCAUUCAUUCGUCUCUCGCUGAACAUGGAGCUCACUGUUUCAGCGAGGCUGGCUGGCCAGUGAGCUCCGGGAUCUUGUCCCCAGCUGUGGUUACAGUUUCAUGCCACCACAUUCAGCUUUUACAUGGUACUGGGGCUGGGGUCCUUGUGUUUUCACAGCCACCCACCAAGCCACCUCCUCCGCCCCCAACACUUCUUUGUUUAUUGUUGCUGUAAACAGGGCCUUGCUAUGCAGCUGGGGCUAACUCAAUCACAUUGCAACCUGUCUACCUCUGCCUCCUGAGCGCUGGGUUACAAAAGUGCACCGCCACAUCCGGCCUUAGACUUCUUAGAUCAGCGACAAACUUCUGUCUUGUUUAAGUUCCUGCUGUUUUUAAUUUUCUUUUAACCAGGCGGCCUAAUCCUCUGUAGCUAAAAGUGUGUUCCGAGGAGCCAAUACUCAAAGCCAUUUCCCUCCCUCCCACAGUAUGUUUGCGUUCCAUAGACUAAAUGACGUUUGGGUCCAAAACAAGGAAAUUAGUUCAUGAAUUCAGAAAACAAGACUGUCUUAAUUAUGUGUGCCAAGCCCUGGGAGCCAGCCCAGCACUCAAUGUUUUUUGUUUUGUUUUGCUCGUUUGUUUAAGCUAAGAUACAGAGUCCCUAUGGAAAGAAAGAAAGGAGGAUGGCAGCAUAAAUCAACAAUGGGUGUUUUAUUGUGACAAGAUGCCUGACCAAAAAAUACCUCAAAGAAGAACUCGGCUCACAGCUCAAGGGUGUAGUCCAUAUUGGUGAUGUCAUGGUGAUAGGAAUGUGAAGCUGCCGCUCACACAUCAGUGUCAGCGGCAGUCAGGAAGCCAAGCUGGUGAGCACUGGAGGGAGUCCUCCUUCCUCCACAGUCUGAUGGCACCCCCAUUCAGGUGGUCUACCUAGCCCAAUUAACUCACCCUAGAAAAUCUCUCAAAACAUUCCCAGAGUCUGGUCUCCUGGGUGAUUCUAGAUCCUGCCAAAUUGUCAAUCAAUAUAAAUCAUUAUAGAGGGAUUGUUAGAUGUUGAAAACGUUGAGGAAGUUUUACUUAAUUCUGCCGGGGGUGGGCCGGAGCCACGGAAAACCCACGAAUGCUUGGCAAAGAUUCGUCUGUACAUAUGCUAUAGUAAGUGGUUAGAUUGCGGCAAGCUAAAUUUCUUCAGUGGGAGAAGAGAAAGCAGACACAAUGAGCCGUUCCAGACAUGGAGAUUAGUUCACAACCAGCACUCCUAGAGUAGAGCCCCUGAGGACCCUCCAAGAGAUGAGGGGACCUAAAUGCAUCUGUUCACACAAAUGUGGAAAGACGGGAGUUUCUUGCUAAUUAAAAUGAGCCUUUCUGUCA